UGUGUGUGUGUGUGUGUAGUACAAAAGCAUGUGCCAAAUUGUUUAUAUAAUUACACACACACACACACACACACACACACACACACACACACAC
rnacentral:miRNA from 1 species